rnacentral:rRNA from 1 species
UACAGAGGUCUCAAGCGUUGUUCGGAUUCAUUGGGCGUAAAAGGGUGCGUAGGCGGCGCGGUAAGUCGGGUGUGAAAUUUCGAGGCUUAACUUCGAAACUGCAUUCGAUACUGCCGUGCUAGAGGACUGGAGAGGAGACUGGAAUUUACGGUGUAGCGGUGAAAAUGCGUAGAUAUCGUAAGGAAGACCAGUGGCGAAGGC